UAAAAAGUCCUUUAAAC
rnacentral:tRNA from 1 species